rnacentral:rRNA from 1 species
UAAACGACUCUCGGCAACGGAUAUCUCGGCUCACGCAUCGAUGAAGAACGUAGCAAAAUGCGAUACUUGGUGUGAAUUGCAGAAUCCCGUGAACCAUCGAGUUUUUGAACGCAAGUUGCGCCCGAAGCCUUUUGGCCGAGGGCACAUCUGCCUGGGCGUCACAC